GGAGAGUUGUCCGAGUGGUUGAAGGAGCACGCCUGGAAAGCGUGUAUACGGGUUCCCGUAUCGAGGGUUCAAAUCCCUCACUCUCCGCCA
rnacentral:tRNA from 1 species